AGGGAUAUUGGCGCGGCUCAAUCAACAGCUCUCCCCAAUAGGAAAGCCUCUCCAUAGGGCAGCUUUCUAUUUCAAGGAGGCUCUGCAACUGUUCCUUCUCAUGAAUAACAACCCAGUCACCGCUCUGCCGCCUAGGAGCCCCACUCCAUUUGAUGUCAUCUUUAAAAUGGGUGCUUAUAAAGUCUUCUCUGAAGUUUCUCCGCUUAUCCAAUUUGUUAACUUUACUUGCAAUCAGGCCCUCCUCGAAGCCCUCAGUGAUGCUGAUAGAAUCCAUAUAAUUGACUUUGAUAUUGGUUUUGGUGCUCAAUGGGCUUCUUUUAUGCAGGAACUUCCACGGAAUAGAGGUGCCCCAUCAUUGAAAAUCACUGCCUUUGCCUCUCCUUCAACUCACCAUCCCGUUGAGGUUCUUCUUAUGCGCGAAAACUUAACUCAAUUUGCUAAUGAGAUUGGUAUAGGUUUUGAACUUGAUGUGGUUAACUUUGAUUUGUUGGAGCAAAACUGUUAUUCUCUUUCCAUUUUUCGACCAAACGAAAAUGAGGCUGUUGCAGUAAAUUUCCCUGUCUGGUCCUCCUCGAACCAACCACCUGCAUUACCAUCUCUGUUGCGCUUUAUAAAGCAGCUUUCACCGAAGAUUGUCGUGUCGUUGGAUAAAGGAUGUGACAGAACUGACCUUCCAUUCCCACAACACAUCCUCCAUGCUCUUCAAUCCUAUAUACACCUGUUGGAGUCGUUGGAUGCUGUUAAUGUGGCUUCUGAUGCUGUGAACAAGAUUGAGAAGUUUUUACUUCAGCCAAGGAUUGAAAGUGCUGUUUUGGGGCGUCUUCGUGCACCAGAGAAAAUGCCCAAUUGGAAGACAAUCUUUGCUUCUGCUGGUUUUUCACCUGUAACUUUCAGCAACUUCACUGAAACUCAAGCGGAAUGUGUGGUAAAGAGGACUCCAGUGAGGGGAUUUCAUGUGGAGAAGCGCCAAGCCUUGCUUGUGCUCUGUUGGCAGCGUCGAGAGCUGAUCUCAGCUUCAGCUUGGAGGUGCUGAAGAGUGGCAAUUUGACUAGCAGGGGAGGUUGGUUUUUGAUCGACUCACAGUUUAUCAGAGGUUUCAACUUAAUCUAAUGUGGUAUUAAUAAAAUUUUGAAUAUUGUCGGCGAUGCCUCGUUUGGGACUUAAUAUGAAUUGUCUAACUUGUGAGUCUCCUCUGCUUGUUGGCUAUCUAGUCCAAGUAGAACAAAAUAUAUAACUGGAAAGUCUAGUAGGGAAUUAUUUGUUUUGAAAAUGGAUAUUGCUGGUAUGGUAUUUUGAUGUUGUUUCUGAUGACAAUAUGCUCGUUCUGCUGGUUAAGGAAAUGAUAAUCUGUUGUAUACUUAACAGUGAAUCACCCCUAGUGGAAAAGUGAACAUACUGAGUUUUAAUCUCUUGCUAUAUGCACUGUGAGUAAAUUUUCCAGUGCAUGUUGAUUUUAUAUAUAGAGUCUUCAACUCUUUUUCCUUUGUUGUUGUGAUUUUAUAUAUACUAAACCAGGAUUAGAGAAAUAUUCAUCCAAGAUGGAUGGCUGUUGGCUUUUAACCAUGAUAAGAGUAUACUGGUUUAGCAGUUUUACGGGCAUUCAAAAUAAGCAUGUUUUGGGUGGGGAUGUAGUGAUUGUUCGAAAGCCCUCUUUUGUCCGGUUCUUUCUUUUUUGCAUCACCUUCAAUGAGUGUCUCAAUUGGACAUUUUAGGUGCAGGAGAUUCUGAUAUUAAGAUGCUUGCAAUCAUUGUUUGUAAAGGCGAGCCGCUAUGACUCCGAUUUGUUAAUUCCUGUGUAGAUAUUUGUUGAUUUUAUCCUUAAGGUUGGGGGAUUUAGGGAUGUAAACUCAACUUGCCUAAUUUGGAGUAUUUGGGGCUGAUUUCAUAUAUAUCAAGGUGCAUAUAUUAUAUGCUUGACUUAUAUUCUUCUUGAACUUUUGACUGUUGUUGUCACAUGUUGAAUUUGAGUCAAGUAUUCUGUUAAGUGGUAGAAGUGACAACUUGCGUAACAGGACGUACGUCAAUUGUCGUUUAUCGAUCUGUUUAGUUAAACAACACAAUCUGUAGUCUUGUAGUCCUGUAUCUAGCAUCUGAAGUGUCGUGUAGUUCUGCAAAGCUUCUGUGUCUAGUUCAAGCAACGUGGAAUGCAGUUUGUCUUUU
rnacentral:misc_RNA from 1 species